rnacentral:rRNA from 1 species
AUUGAACGCUAGCGGGAUGCCUUACACAUGCAAGUCGAACGGAGUGGCGAACGGGUGAGUAAUGCAUCGGAACGUGCCUAGUAGUGGGGGAUAACUACCGGAAAGAGUCGCUAAUACCGCAUACUAUUGGAGCGGCCGAUUUCGGAUUAGCUAGUUGGGGGGGUAACGGCCGACAAAGGCGCCGAUCCGGACCUGGUCUGAGAGGAUGACCAGUCACACUGGGACGUAGACACGGCCCAGACUCCUACGGGAGGCAGCAGUGGGGAAUUUUGGACAAUGGGCGAAAUCCUGAUCCAGCCAUGCCGCGUGUGCGAAGAAGGCCUUCGGGUUGUAAAGCACUUUUGGUAGGGAGGCGGUACCAGCAGAAUAAGCACCGGCUAACUACGUGCCAGCCGCCGCGGGAAUAC